AUUGAACGCUGGCGGCAUGCUUUACACAUGCAAGUCGAACGGCAGCGCUGGCUUCGGCCUGGCGGCGAGUGGCUUACGGGUGAGUAAUGCAUCGGAACGUGCCCAGUCGUGGGGGAUAGCCCGGCGAAAGCCGGAUUAAUACCGCAUCCGACCUGAGGGUGAAAGCGGGGGACCGAACGGCCUCGCGCUAUUUGCGCGGCCGCUGUCGGAUUCGCUAGUUGGUGGGGUAAAGGCUUACCAAGGCGACGAUCCGUACCUGGUCUGAGAGGACGACCAGCCACACUGGGACUGAGACACGGCCCAGACCCCUACGGGAGGCAGCAGUGGGGAAUUUUGGACAAUGGGGGAAACCCUGAGCCAGCCAUGCCGCGUGCGGGAAGAAGGCCUUCGGGUUGUAAACCGCUUUUGUGCGGGAAGAAAGCCUCUGGGCUAAUACCCCGGGGGGAUGACGGUACCGGAAGAAUAAGCACCGGCUAACUACGU
rnacentral:rRNA from 1 species